rnacentral:rRNA from 1 species
CCUACGGGGCGCAGCAGUGAGGAAUAUUGGUCAAUGGACGAGAGUCUGAACCAGCCAAGUAGCGUGAAGGAUGACUGCCCUAUGGGUUGUAAACUUCUUUUAUAUGGGAAUAAAAUGUUCCACGUGUGGGAUUUUGUAUGUACCAUAUGAAUAAGGAUCGGCUAACUCCGUGCCAGCAGCCGUGGUAAUACGGAGGAUCCGAGCGUUAUCCGGAUUUAUUGGGUUUAAAGGGAGCGUAGGUGGAUUGUUAAGUCAGUUGUGAAAGUUUGCGGCUCAACCGUAAAAUUGCAGUUGAAACUGGCAGUCUUGAGUACAGUAGAGGUGGGCGGAAUUCGUGGUGUAGCGGUGAAAUGCUUAGAUAUCACGAAGAACUCCGAUUGCGAAGGCAGUUCACUGGACUGCAACUGACACUGAGGCUCGAAAGUGUGGGUAUCAAACAGGAUUAGAUACCCCUGUAGUC